GGCUCUGAAAUCCCGAGGCUCAGCCUCGGCCCUGCAGUGUGUACGAGCAGACUAGAGUGCGGUAGGGGAGAUUGGAAUUCCUGGUGUAGCGGUGGAAUGCGCAGAUAUCAGGAGGAACACCGAUGGCGAAGGCAGAUCUCUGGGCCGUAACUGACGCUGAGGAGCGAAAGGGUGGGGAGCAAACAGGCUUAGAUACCCUGGUAGUCCACCCCGUAAACGUUGGGAACUAGUUGUGGGGUCCAUUCCACGGAUUCCGUGACGCAGCUAACGCAUUAAGUUCCCCGCCUGGGGAGUACGGCCGCAAGGCUAAAACUCAAAGGAAUUGACGGGGACCCGCACAAGCGGCGGAGCAUGCGGAUUAAUUCGAUGCAACGCGAAGAACCUUACCAAGGCUUGACAUACACCAGAACGCCCUAGAAAUAGGGAACUCUUUGGACACUGGUGAACAGGUGGUGCAUGGUUGUCGUCAGCUCGUGUCGUGAGAUGUUGGGUUAAGUCCCGCAACGAGCGCAACCCUCGUUCUAUGUUGCCAGCACGUAAUGGUGGGAACUCAUGGGAUACUGCCGGGGUCAACUCGGAGGAAGGUGGGGAUGACGUCAAAUCAUCAUGCCCCUUAUGUCUUGGGCUUCACGCAUGCUACAAUGGCCGGUACAAAGGGCUGCAAUACCGUGAGGUGGAGCGAAUCCCAAAAAGCCGGUCCCAGUUCGGAUUGAGGUCUGCAACUCGACCUCAUGAAGUCGGAGUCGCUAGUAAUCGCAGAUCAGCAACGCUGCGGUGAAUACGUUCCCGGGUCUUGUACACACCGCCCGUCAAGUCAUGAAAGUCGGUAACACCUGAAGCCGGUGGCCCAACCCUUGGGAGGGAGCGUCGAAGUGGAUACGAUGCCC
rnacentral:rRNA from 1 species